AAAUUGAAGAGUUUGAUCAUGGCUCAGAUUGAACGCUGGCGGCAGGCCUAACACAUGCAAGUCGAGCGGUAGCACAGAGAGCUUGCUCUCGGGUGACGAGCGGCGGACGGGUGAGUAAUGUCUGGGAAACUGCCUGAUGGAGGGGGAUAACUACUGGAAACGGUAGCUAAUACCGCAUAACGUCGCAAGACCAAAGUGGGGGACCUUCGGGCCUCAUGCCAUCAGAUGUGCCCAGAUGGGAUUAGCUAGUAGGUGGGGUAACGGCUCACCUAGGCGACGAUCCCUAGCUGGUCUGAGAGGAUGACCAGCCACACUGGAACUGAGACACGGUCCAGACUCCUACGGGAGGCAGCAGUGGGGAAUAUUGCACAAUGGGCGCAAGCCUGAUGCAGCCAUGCCGCGUGUGUGAAGAAGGCCUUCGGGUUGUAAAGCACUUUCAGCGGGGAGGAAGGCGAUAAGGUUAAUAACCUUGUCGAUUGACGUUACCCGCAGAAGAAGCACCGGCUAACUCCGUGCCAGCAGCCGCGGUAAUACGGAGGGUGCAAGCGUUAAUCGGAAUUACUGGGCGUAAAGCGCACGCAGGCGGUCUGUCAAGUCGGAUGUGAAAUCCCCGGGCUCAACCUGGGAACUGCAUUCGAAACUGGCAGGCUAGAGUCUUGUAGAGGGGGGUAGAAUUCCAGGUGUAGCGGUGAAAUGCGUAGAGAUCUGGAGGAAUACCGGUGGCGAAGGCGGCCCCCUGGACAAAGACUGACGCUCAGGUGCGAAAGCGUGGGGAGCAAACAGGAUUAGAUACCCUGGUAGUCCACGCCGUAAACGAUGUCGAUUUGGAGGUUGUGCCCUUGAGGCGUGGCUUCCGGAGCUAACGCGUUAAAUCGACCGCCUGGGGAGUACGGCCGCAAGGUUAAAACUCAAAUGAAUUGACGGGGGCCCGCACAAGCGGUGGAGCAUGUGGUUUAAUUCGAUGCAACGCGAAGAACCUUACCUGGUCUUGACAUCCACAGAACUUUCCAGAGAUGGAUUGGUGCCUUCGGGAACUGUGAGACAGGUGCUGCAUGGCUGUCGUCAGCUCGUGUUGUGAAAUGUUGGGUUAAGUCCCGCAACGAGCGCAACCCUUAUCCUUUGUUGCCAGCGGUCCGGCCGGGAACUCAAAGGAGACUGCCAGUGAUAAACUGGAGGAAGGUGGGGAUGACGUCAAGUCAUCAUGGCCCUUACGACCAGGGCUACACACGUGCUACAAUGGCAUAUACAAAGAGAAGCGACCUCGCGAGAGCAAGCGGACCUCAUAAAGUAUGUCGUAGUCCGGAUUGGAGUCUGCAACUCGACUCCAUGAAGUCGGAAUCGCUAGUAAUCGUAGAUCAGAAUGCUACGGUGAAUACGUUCCCGGGCCUUGUACACACCGCCCGUCACACCAUGGGAGUGGGUUGCAAAAGAAGUAGGUAGCUUAACCUUCGGGAGGGCGCUUACCACUUUGUGAUUCAUGACUGGGGUGAAGUCGUAACAAGGUAACCGUAGGGGAACCUGCGGUUGGAUCACCUCCUUACCUUAAAGAA
rnacentral:rRNA from 4 species